CGAUCUGAGAGCUGUCUGAUGAAGAUUCGGCCACACUGCCGCCCCCCGGGAUGGUGGCAAAGCCUGAAUCAAUCCGGAGAUAACAGCUAUGCUUUCCCGGGCCACCAAGAGGGAAGGGCUCGAGUGGAAAUCUCCACUGCGUCCCGAGCCCUCGAGGCAGGAUGAUUGGUUUCUCAGGGUGGCUCACACUGGUGCCUUUCUUCCCGGAAGUGCAUGACGAGCUCACCAGGUCGUGGAUGGCCCCUUUUACUGCCAGAAACCGUCCGGUGGGCUCCUCCUCCCUCACCGCCCUCGGUGGCGGUGCAGCGAAGGGGUAUUUGGUGAUUCCCCCAGUGGAGUGGGCGGUAGUGAUGCAAUUGUGUCCUAAGUCUGCCUCCUGCUGGCGGGGAGACCCGGUGCUUCCUUCCCGGACCUAUAGGCAUUCGUCUGGUCUAAACGGCAGUGCCUAUAUGGCUUGCUGGGAAGCUGCUCCCGCCUUACACGCUAUGGCAUUACUGCAGGUGCAUCAGGCCAAGGCACUGAAGGACCUGCAUGAGGGUGGUCACGAUCCAGAAGUUCUGAAAGAACUCCGAACCACCACUGACCUCAUGCUCCGAUUGAUGAAGGUCACCGUGUGUUCUCUGGGUCGUGCGAUGUCCACGCUUGUGGUCCAGGAGCGCCAUCUCUGGCUCAGUCUGGUUGAAAUGAAGGACGCUGACAAAGAUCAGUUCCUUAAUGCCCCUGUGUCUCUUCGGCGACGCGGUCAAGAACCUGUCCCAGCAGUUCUUGGCUGCAGGAGAGCAGACUUAGGCAGUCCAACCUUCUGCCUGGCGGGCAGCUGCUGCCUCUACCCGCCCGCCGGCUGCAGCGCCCCAGCCUGCUUGCCACCGAGGGUGGCCCCCUGCGUCCACCCCCACCCCCACCCCCACGCCACAUCCGCAGCAGCCUCCAGCAAGUGGCGCUGUAGAACUGGGCGUAGGCAGGCCGCCCCACCCGUCCUGCCCCCGUCAAACUUGGUGGUGAGCGGAAGAGCAAGAAGCCCCGGGACAGACGACCCAGAGAGAGGGAGCUGCUUUCUGGUGAAAGCACCUCUCAGUCCCCUGGAGGAGGGCCGGGUGGAGAAUCUGGAAAUCUCGACGAGAGCACAGUUUUCUCUAUCUCUGGGUCCCAGGAGGGCACGUAGAGUUGCUGAUGGCCAAGCACCAGACCUCACUCAUCCUCCUCCUUCCCCAGAUGGCAGCAGCACUUGUACGGUUUCUAAGCGCCUGGUCAGUGCUACCCAGCCCAUCUUGCUGGCUUCUGCGGACCAUCAGCCUCGGCUAUGCAAUUCAGUUCGCCCGGCAUCCCCCCAAGUUCAGCGCUAUCCGCUUCACUACAGUGAAAGCGUCCGAUGCCCCUGUUCUGCGGGUAGAGAUCACAGUCUUACUGGCGAAGGACGCGAUAGAGCCGGUCCCUCCAGCCGGUAUGAGGACGAAGUUUUACAGCCCUUACUUCAUUGUACCCAAGAAAGGCGGUGGGUUACAACCGAUCUUGGAUCUGCGAGUUUUGAACCGGGCCCUUCAUCGGCUACCGUUCAAGAUGUUGACGCAGAAAUGCAUCUUCGGGUGCGUCCGUCCCCAAGAUUGGUUUGCAGCGAUCGACCUGAAGGACGCAUACUUUCAUGUAUCAAUCCUUCUGCACCACAGACCUUUUCUGCGGUUUGCAUUUGAAAGAAGGGCAUAUCAGUACAAGGUCCUGCCCUUCUGGCUGUCCCUGCCCCCACUUGUCUUCACGAAAGUUGCGGAGGUGGAUCUUGUUCCCCUCAGAGAGCAGGGUAUUCGCAUUCUCAACUAUCUAGACGAUUGGCUGAUACUAGCACAAUCUCGGGAUCAGUUGUGCAAGCACAGGGACCUGGUGCUCUGGCACCUCAGCCUGUUGGGCCUUCGGGUCAACUGGGGAAAGAGCAAACUAUCGCCGAUGCAGAGG
ensembl:lncRNA